rnacentral:rRNA from 1 species
UACGGGGGGGGCAAGCGUUGUUCGGAAUUACUGGGCGUAAAGGGCUCGUAGGUGGCCAACUAAGUCAGACGUGAAAUCCCUCGGCUUAACCGGGGAACUGCGUCUGAUACUGGAUGGCUUGAGUUCGGGAGAGGGAUGCGGAAUUCCAGGUGUAGCGGUGAAAUGCGUAGAUAUCUGGAGGAACACCGGUGGCGAAGGCGGCAUCCUGGACCGAUACUGACUCUGAGGAGCGAAAGCCAGGGGAUCAAACGGG